CAAAGAUUAAGCCAUGCAUGUGACUAGUGGUGGGAUGUGCCGGGGGG
rnacentral:misc_RNA from 1 species